UACGUAGGGGGCGAGCGUUGUCCGGAAUUAUUGGGCGUAAAGGGUGCGUAGGCGGCCUUUUAAGUCAGAUGUGAAAGGUCACGGCUCAACCGUGGUAAGCAUUUGAAACUGGAAGGCUUGAGUUAAGGAGAGGAAAGUGGAAUUCCUAGUGUAGCGGUGAAAUGCGUAGAUAUUAGGAGGAAUACCAGUGGCGAAGGCGACUUUCUGGACUUAAACUGACGCUGAGGCACGAAAGCGUGGGGAGCAAACAGGAUUAGAUACCCUGGUAGUCCACGCCGUAAACGAUGAGUGCUAGGUGUUGGGGGUUAACCCUCGGUGCCGCAGCUAACGCAUUAAGCACUCCGCCUGGGGAGUACGUACGCAAGUAUGAA
rnacentral:rRNA from 1 species